rnacentral:rRNA from 1 species
UGCGAGUGAAGAGGGAAAAGCUCAAAUUUAAAAUCUGGCAGUGCUUCACUGUCCGAGUUGUAACCUAGAGAAGUGUAACCUGCGCUGGACCGUGUAUAAGUCUCCUGGAAUGGAGCAUCACAGAGGGUGAGAAUCCCGUCUUUGACAUGGACUACCAGUGCAUUGUGGUUGCGCUCUCAACGAGUCGAGUUGUUUGGGAAUGCAGCUCUAAAUGGGUGGUAAAUUCCAUCUAAAGCUAAAUAUUGGCGAGAGACCGAUAGCGAACAAGUACCGUGAGGGAAAGAUGAAAAGAACUUUGGAAAGAGAGUUAAACAGUAUGUGAAAUUGUUGAAAGGGAAACGUUUGAAGUCAGUCGCGUUGGUUGGGGAUCAGCCUGACAUUGUUGGGUGUACUUCCUGGUUGACGGGCCAACAUCAGUUUUGACUGCCAGAAAAAGGCCAAAGGAAUGUGGCACCUUUUAGGUGUGUUAUAGCCCUUGGUCGUAUAUGGUGGUUGGGACUGAGGAAAGCAGCGUGCCGAAAGGCCGGGUUUCGACCACGUUCACGCUGAGGAUGUUGGCAUAAUGGCUUUAAGCGACCCGUCUUGAAACACGGACCAAGGAGUCUAACAUGCAUGCGAGUGUUUGGGUGGAAAACCCUUACGCGUAAUGAAAGUGAAAGUUGAGAUCCCUGUCGCGGGGAGCAUCGACGCCCGGACCAGAACUUUUGGGACGGAUCUGCGGUAGAGCACGUAUGUUGGGACCCGAAAGAUGGUGAACUAUGCCUGAAUAGGGUGAAGCCAGAGGAAACUCUGGUGGAGGCUCGUAGCGAUUCUGACGUGCAAAUCGA